CUGUCAUCAGGAAUUUGGUCCGACUCCCACGCACUCCUAGAGGCAGCGAGGGGGAGGGGAAGGAUGCGGGAGGCAGAACUCCUGAGGGAGAGGAUGUGGCUGUCGGGCGGCUCUCCCAGGCUCCCUGCCUUGCACAGGCUGUGGGAGGGGACCACGGAGGCGAGGCGGCUACUCUGGUCUCCAGAGAUUGACUCCCGCUGACUGCCCCCCCCCACCCCGGCCCCAGGUCGCUGGGGAGGGACCCUUGGGAGAGACAGCAGAGGCUGGGAGGAUGCAGCCCGCCUUAUGCUGGCUGGAGGAAGGCCUCCCCGUUUCACACUCAUCCCGCCUGGGGGCAGGGCCCGGCGCUCCAGGGUCCAGCCGGCCCAGGACUGGGCUCCGCACCACACUCGCCCCCCAACUUAUCCCCCACCCUGCCACUGGGGCUGUGGCACAGAGAUGGCAAACACCCCCCAAGGCCUUGUGCCAGGUAAUUACCAAGCAAAUUCCCGGCGAUUUCCUCUCCCCACCCUGGGCAGCGCCUGCUGCGCGUUCCCUGAUUCGGGCCCCGGCUGUGCAAUCAGCGCCCGGGAACCUGCGGGGACCCGUAAUUGCUCUGGAGUUGCCCAGGACUUUGCAAGAGACCCUACUCACAGUGAGAAGGGCCAGCGUGCUUGGUUCCACGUGCUGUCUGGCCCUGGGCUCUGCUCCCUGA
rnacentral:lncRNA from 9 species